rnacentral:rRNA from 1 species
CAGUAGCCGCGGUAAUACGUAGGGUGCAAGCGUUAAUCGGAAUUACUGGGCGUAAAGCGUGCAUAGGCGGUUAUAUAAGUCAGAUGUGAAAUCCCCGGGCUCAACCUGGGAACUGCAUUUGAGACUGUAUGGCUAGAGUGUGUCAGAGGGGGGUAGAAUUCCACGUGUAGCAGUGAAAUGCGUAGAUAUGUGGAGGAAUACCGAUGGCGAAGGCAGCCCCCUGGGAUAACACUGACGCUCAUGCACGAAAGCGUGGGGAGCAAACAGGAUUAGAUACCCCUGUAGUCCCUGUCUCUUAUAC